CUUGCUGCCAUCUUCAGCCCAUAUAGCUUUAAUUCUAUCAAUGUAUAAAUUUUUUUAAACAGUUAUUUUUCUAUGCUUUUAGCUGUUUUUAUUCUUGUCUGUGGGGACGCGGGUGGCGCUGUGGGUAAAACCUCAGUGCCUAGGACCUGCCGAUCGCAUGGUCGGCGGUUCGAAUCCCCGCGGCGGGGUGAGCUCCCGUCGUUCGGUCCCAGCUCCUGCCCACCUAGCAGUUCGAAAGCACUCUUAAGUGCAAGUAGAUAAAUAGGUACCGCUUUAUAGCGGGAAGGUAAACGGCGUUUCCGUGUGCUGCGCUGGUGCCGGCUUGCCAGAGCAGCUUUGUCACGCUGGCCACGUGACCCGGAAGUGUCUCCGGACAGCGCUGGCCCCCGGCCUCUUAAGUGAGAAGGGCGCACAACCCUAGAGUCGGACACGACUGGCCCGUACGGGCAGGGGUACCUUUACCUUUACCUUUACCUAUUCUUGUCUGUAAGCGGCCUUGAGUCCCGUUAGGGAGAAAGGCAGGGUAGAAAGAAAGAAAGAAAGAAAGAAAGAAAGAAAGAAAGAAAGAAAGAAAGAAAGAAUUUACAUGCCACCUUUCAUUUCAAGGAGAAAAAUACAGUGGCAGUUCACAAGCAGGUUAAAAGCCAAUGGGAAAAUAACACCACCAGUUAUUAAAUAAAAAUUCCCAUAAGGUCAGUUGGAACUGCAAUCAAAGCAGGAGAGUCGAGUCGGGAGGUCAGGAAAAUGCUUGUCUAAACAGGGAGCGGUCAAGAGCCAAGGGUCAGGCGUUCAGCAGGGAGGACAUUCCACAACACUGGCGCCACCACUGUAAAAGCCUGGCUCCGUGUUACCACAGUAGUCUUGCCUAGUGCCCUGCUGUUGCUGUUGGAUUUACAUUGCCCUGACCACUCUCUCAAUGUGAGUUGCCGUCCAGAACCACUUGGGGGGCACCAGGUUGGAGGAGACUGAAAUGCACCGGCGGUCGGAUUCUGCAUAAGGCAGUUGAUUGGUCUGCAGAUAACUUUCUGAAUCGCCCCUUAAGGCUAAGAGGUUGGAUGUCUCAGAAGGCUUCUUAGCUGUUUAUUGUUUCUUCCCACCCCUUAAGAAUUGCUGUUGUAGCGUCACGCUGAAUUGGGUGCCGUAUGGAAGCUACUUGUGGUUUUGUGAUAUUUACUUGAGCUCAAUUAAAGGUAUCAUGUCCCUCUCCCUGUUCUUGGUUGUCUCCUCUCCCACGCUGAAUUAAUAUGACUGUCUGCAUUUUUCUGCCUGCGGGUUUGUUUUACAUGCAGUGGUACCUUGGUUCUCGAACUUAAUCCGUUCCGGGAGUCCAUUCGACUCCCAAAACAGUUCGAAAACAAACCCGUGGCUUCUGAUUGGCUGCAGGAGCUUCCUGCACUCAAUCGGAAGCUGCGCCGGAUGUUCGGCUUCCAAAAAACGUUUGGAAACUGGAACACUCAUUUCCGGGUUUGCAGCGUUCGGGAGCC